GAAAUUACAGAACAUAUUCAGUGACGAGCAGCACUGUUCACGUCUUGUCUUUUGUUGCUGUAAAUGAAAUAAAAUGGAGGCCUUAGUAUUCAUCAUAGCUUUGCUGUUUGCGUUUAAAUAUGCUCAUUGUGACAUCACACUGACAGAGUCUGCUCCACAGAUGAAGAAGCCUGGAGAUUCUGUGAGGAUCUCCUGCAAAAUUACUGGAUUCUCACUCAGCAGCUACAAUGUGCACUGGGUUCGACAGGCUCCAAACAAAGGGCUGCAAUGGGUUGGAUAUUACCGCGGUUCUUCUGACGAUCGUUUCAAAGUUACAGGAGAUUCAUCCAACAGCAUUGCUUACUUAGACAUCACCGGUCUCCAGUCCUCAGACACAGCUGUGUAUUACUGUGCCCGAGAGACACAGUGAAAGAGUUUAAGGCCC